rnacentral:rRNA from 1 species
UACGUAGGGCGCAAGCGUUAUCCGGAAUUAUUGGGCGUAAAGAGCUCGUAGGCGGUGUGUCGCGUCGGCCGUGAAAACCUGCAGCUUAACUGUGGGCGUGCGGUCGAUACGGGCAUCACUGGAGUUCGGCAGGGGAGACUGGAAUUCCUGGUGUAGCGGUGAAAUGCGCAGAUAUCAGGAGGAACACCCGGUGGCGGAAGGCGGGUCUCUGGGCCGAUACUGACGCUGAGGAGCGAAAGCGUGGGGAGCAAACAGG